rnacentral:rRNA from 1 species
AUUGAACGCUGGCGGUAGACCUAACACAUGCAAGUCGAACGGCAGCACAGUAAGAGCUUGCUCUUACGGGUGGCGAGUGGCGGACGGGUGAGGAAUACAUCGGAAUCUACUUUUUCGUGGGGGAUAACGUAGGGAAACUUACGCUAAUACCGCAUACGACCUACGGGUGAAAGCAGGGGAUCUUCGGACCUUGCGCGAUUGAAUGAGCCGAUGUCGGAUUAGCUAGUUGGCGGGGUAAAGGCCCACCAAGGCGACGAUCCGUAGCUGGUCUGAGAGGAUGAUCAGCCACACUGGAACUGAGACACGGUCCAGACUCCUACGGGAGGCAGCAGUGGGGAAUAUUGGACAAUGGGCGCAAGCCUGAUCCAGCCAUACCGCGUGGGUGAAGAAGGCCUUCGGGUUGUAAAGCCCUUUUGUUGGGAAAGAAAAGCAGCAGGUUAAUACCCCGCUGUUCUGACGGUACCCAAAGAAGAAGCACCGGCUAACUUCGUG